UUUAAAAUGAUGACAAUACCGUCCGUGGUUUUACACUGAGACAAAGCCAUGCUGUUUGAAAGUCAUUUUUCCCCAACUGAUACA
rnacentral:snoRNA from 1 species